GGUCUGGUGGUGUAGUGGUUACAUGCCUGGAGUUUGUUCAUUAGGUUCAGCAGGACUCCCUUGUUCAAAUCAAGGCCAGGUCA